UGCCUACGGGAGGCAGCAGUGGGGAAUAUUGCACAAUGGGGGAAACCCUGAUGCAGCAACGCCGCGUGAAGGAUGAAGUAUUUCGGUAUGUAAACUUCUAUCAGCAGGGAAGAAAAUGACGGUACCUGACUAAGAAGCCCCGGCUAACUACGUGCCAGCAGCCGCGGUAAUACGUAGGGGGCAAGCGUUAUCCGGAUUUACUGGGUGUAAAGGGAGCGUAGACGGCAUGGCAAGUCUGAUGUGAAAACCCGGGGCUCAACCCCGGGACUGCAUUGGA
rnacentral:rRNA from 1 species